GAUCGCGUAGUUCAACUGGAUAGAAUAUCAGAUUUCGGCUCUGAGGGUUGGGGGUUCGAACCCCUCCGCGAUCACUA
rnacentral:tRNA from 1 species